UCCUCCCUCUUUCUUCGUGCUUAACACAUGCAAGUCGAACGGAAAGGCCCUGCUUUUGUGGGGUGCUCGAGUGGCGAACGGGUGAGUAACACGUGAGUAACCUGCCCUUGACUUUGGGAUAACUUCAGGACACUGGGGCUAAUACCGGAUAGGAGCUCCUGCUGCAUGGUGGGGGUUGGAAAGUUUCGGCGGGUGGGGAUGGACUCGCGGCUUAUCAGCUUGUUGGUGGGGUAGUUGCUUACCAAGGCUCUGACGGGUAGCCGGCCUGAGAGGGUGACCGGCCACAUGGGGACUGAGAUACGGCCCAGACUCCUACGGGAGGCAGCAGGGGGGAAUAUUGCACAAUGGGCGGAAGCCUGAUGCAGCAACGCCGCGUGCGGGAUGACGGCCUUCGGGUUGUAAACCGCUUGCGCCUGUGACGAAGCGGGAGUGACGGUAAUUAGUAAAGAAGCACCGGCUAACUACGUG
rnacentral:rRNA from 1 species